rnacentral:rRNA from 1 species
AACGAACGCUGGCGGCAGGCUUCAUACAUGCAAGUCGAGCGGUUGGCACUCCGCAAGGGGUGUCAAUAGCGGCGAACGGGUGAGUAACAGGUGGAUCAUCUGCCUCCUGGCGGGGGAUAACGGCUGGAAACGGCCGCUAAUACCGCAUGUGGUUGUCAGUUUACGAAUUGGCAAAGAAAGGCGCUUCACGGCGUCACCAGGAGAUGAGUCCGCCCCCCAUUAGCUAGUUGGCGGGAUAAUAGCCCACCAAGGCUUCGAUGGGUAGCCGAGCUGAGAGGUUGAUCGGCCACACUGGAACUGAGACACGGUCCAGACACCUACGGGUGGCUG